UAGAAUUCCAGGUGUAGCGGUGAAAUGCGUAGAGAUCUGGAGGAAUACCGGUGGCGAAGGCGGCCCCCUGGACGAAGACUGACGCUCAGGUGCGAAAGCGUGGGGAGCAAACAGGAUUAGAUACCCUGGUAGUCCACGCCGUAAACGAUGUCGACUUGGAGGUUGUGCCCUUGAGGCGUGGCUUCCGGAGCUAACGCGUUAAGUCGACCGCCUGGGGAGUACGGCCGCAAGGUUAAAACUCAAAUGAAUUGACGGGGGCCCGCACAAGCGGUGGAGCAUGUGGUUUAAUUCGAUGCAACGCGAAGAACCUUACCUGGUCUUGACAUCCACGGAAGUUUUCAGAGAUGAGAAUGUGCCUUCGGGAACCGUGAGACAGGUGCUGCAUGGCUGUCGUCAGCUCGUGUUGUGAAAUGUUGGGUUAAGUCCCGCAACGAGCGCAACCCUUAUCCUUUGUUGCCAGCGGUCCGGCCGGGAACUCAAAGGAGACUGCCAGUGAUAAACUGGAGGAAGGUGGGGAUGACGUCAAGUCAUCAUGGCCCUUACGACCAGGGCUACACACGUGCUACAAUGGCGCAUACAAAGAGAAGCGACCUCGCGAGAGCAAGCGGACCUCAUAAAGUGCGUCGUAGUCCGGAUUGGAGUCUGCAACUCGACUCCAUGAAGUCGGAAUCGCUAGUAAUCGUGGAUCAGAAUGCCACGGUGAAUACGUUCCCGGGCCUUGUACACACCGCCCGUCACACCAUGGGAGUGGGUUGCAAAAGAAGUAGGUAGCUUAACCUUCGGGAGGGCGCUUACCACUUUGUGAUUCAUGACUGGGGUGAAGUCGUAACAAGGUAACCGUAGGGGAACCUGCGGUUGGAUCACCUCCUUACCUUAAAGAAGC
rnacentral:rRNA from 1 species